rnacentral:rRNA from 1 species
UACAGAGGGUGCGAGCGUUAAUCGGAAUUACUGGGCGUAAAGCGCGCGUAGGCGGCUUUGCAAGUCAGAUGUGAAAUCCCCGGGCUUAACCUGGGAACUGCAUUUGAAACUGCAUUGCUUGAGUAUGGGAGAGGGAGGCGGAAUUUCCGGUGUAGCGGUGAAAUGCGUAGAUAUCGGAAGGAACAUCAGUGGCGAAAGCGGCCUCCUGGACCAAUACUGACGCUCAAGUGCGAAAGCGUGGGGAGCAAACAGG